rnacentral:rRNA from 1 species
CACGUGAGGGGCGAGCGUUGUCCGGAUUUAUUGGGCGUAAAGAGCUCGUAGGCGGCUCGGUAAGUCGGGUGUGAAACCUCCAGGCUCAACCUGGAGACGCCACCUGAUACUGCUGUGGCUAGAGUCCGGUAGGGGAGUGUGGAACUCCUGGUGUAGCGGUGAAAUGCGCAGAUAUCAGGAAGAACACCCGUGGCGAAAGCGGCUCUCGUGGAACGGUACUGACGCUGAGACGCGAAAGCGUGGGGAGCGAACAGG